GGUGCCGCUGGGGCAUGGGGGGGUGGUAUACGGGGGUGGGAAGUGUUGGUCCGAGUUACGGGGCGUGAAGGGGGUGUAGGCGGCCGUGUAAGGUGCGGGUGAAAGCUCCCGGCUCAACCGAGGGGGUGCGCGGAAAACGGACGGGCUAGAGUGCGGGAGGGGAGAGUAGAAUUCCUGGUGUAGCGGUGAAAUGCGUAGAUAUCAGGAGGAAUACCUGUGGUGUAGACGGCUCUCUGGACCGUAACUGACGCUGAAACACGAAAGCGUGGGUAGCAAACAGGAUUAGAUACCCCAGUAGUC
rnacentral:rRNA from 1 species